GCCAGGCACGGUGGCACAUGCCUGUAAUACCAGCAACUUGGGAGGCUGAGCCAGGAGGAUCGCAAGUUCCAGACUAGCUUCAGUAACUUAGUGAGACCCUGUCUCAA
rnacentral:sRNA from 1 species